CACCUUCGGUGUCCGAGUUGUAAUUUGAAGAAGGUAACUUUGGAGUUGGCUCUUGUCUAUGUUCCUUGGAACAGGACGUCACAGAGGGUGAGAAUCCCGUGCGAUGAGAUGCCCAAUUCUAUGUAAAGUGCUUUCGAAGAGUCGAGUUGUUUGGGAAUGCAGCUCUAAGUGGGUGGUAAAUUCCAUCUAAAGCUAAAUAUUGGCGAGAGACCGAUAGCGAACAAGUACAGUGAUGGAAAGAUGAAAAGAACUUUGAAAAGAGAGUGAAAAAGUACGUGAAAUUGUUGAAAGGGAAGGGCUUGAGAUCAGACUUGGUAUUUUGCGAUCCUUUCCUUCUUGGUUGGGUUCCUCGCAGCUUACUGGGCCAGCAUCGGUUUGGAUGGUAGGAUAAUGACUAAGGAAUGUG
rnacentral:rRNA from 1 species